GAUUCUGGCUCAGGAUGAACGCUAGCUACAGGCUUAACACAUGCAAGUCGAGGGGCAGCAUGAUCAAAGCUUGCUUUGAUUGAUGGCGACCGGCGCACGGGUGAGUAACGCGUAUCCAACCUUCCCCUUAGUAGGGCAUAGCCCGUAGAAAUGCGGAUUAAUACCCUAUGUUGUUCAAUGCGGACAUCUAAGUUGAACCAAAGGUUUACCGCUAAGGGAUGGGGAUGCGUCCGAUUAGGCAGCAGGCGGGGUAACGGCCCACCUGGCCGACGAUCGGUAGGGGUUCUGAGAGGAAGGUCCCCCACAUUGGAACUGAGACACGGUCCAAACUCCUACGGGAGGCAGCAGUGAGGAAUAUUGGUCAAUGGGCGAGAGCCUGAACCAGCCAAGUAGCGUGCCAGGAUGACGGCCCUAUGGGUUGUAAACUGCUUUUAUGCGGGGAUAAAGUGCGGCACGUGUGCCGUUUUGUAGGUACCGCAUGAAUAAGGACCGGCUAAUUCCGUGCCAGCCGCGGC
rnacentral:rRNA from 1 species